UCUGUAGGUGUACCUGCGGAGGGAUCAGAUCCGAGUUUACAACUCCCAAACCCAAUGUGAACGUUACACAAACUGUUGCCUCGGCGGGAUCUCUGCCCCGGGUGCGUCGCAGCCCCGGACCAAGGCGCCCGCCGGAGGACCAACCAAAACUCUUAUUGUAUACCCCCUCGCGGGUUUUUUACUAUCUGAGCCAUCUCGGCGCCCCUCGUGGGCGUUUCGAAAAUGAAUCAAAACUUUCAACAACGGAUCUCUUGGUUCUGGCAUCGAUGAAGAACGCAGCGAAAUGCGAUAAGUAAUGUGAAUUGCAGAAUUCAGUGAAUCAUCGAAUCUUUGAACGCACAUUGCGCCCGCCAGUAUUCUGGCGGGCAUGCCUGUCCGAGCGUCAUUUCAACCCUCGAACCCCUCCGGGGGGUCGGCGUUGGGGAUCGGCCCUUUACGGGGCCGGCCCCGAAAUACAGUGGCGGUCUCGCCGCAGCCUCUCCUGCGCAGUAGUUUGCACACUCGCAUCGGGAGCGCGGCGCGUCCACAGCCGUUAAACACCCCAAACUUCUGAAAUGUUGACCUCGGAUCAGGUAGGAAUACCCGCGAACUAGU
rnacentral:rRNA from 1 species